rnacentral:rRNA from 1 species
AAAAACAUGUCUCUUUGUAUUUAAUAAAUAAAGAGUUGGGCCUGCUCAGUGAUGUAAUUUUUAACAGCUGCGGUAUUUUAACUGUACUAAGGUAGCAUAAUAAUUUGCCUUAUAAAUUGAGGCUAGAAUGAAUGGUUUGACGAAGGUUUAUCUGUCUCUAUUUUAUUUUUUAGAAGUUAAUUUUUUUAGUGAAAAAGCUAAAAUAUUUUAAAGGGACGAGAAGACCCUAUUGAGCUUAAAUUUAGUAAUAUUAUGUUUAGUAGUAUUUAAUAAAUUUUAAUUGGGGUGAUUAAGGAAUAAAAUUAUAUAUUGAAUAAUAACUUCCUUAAUUGUGUAAUACUGUUAGGUUAAGUAACCAAUAAUAUUGCUUAUAAUAAAGUUACCAUAGGGAUAACAGCGUAAUUUAUUUAGAGAGUUCUUAUUAAAAAAUAAGAUUGCGACCUCGAUGUUGGAUUAAAGUAACCUUAAGGUGCAGAAGCUUUAAUAUGGUAAAUCUGUUCGAUUUUU